UACGUAGGGUGCAAGCGUUGUCCGGAAUUAUUGGGCGUAAAGAGCUCGUAGGCGGUUUGUCGCGUCUGCUGUGAAAACUCGGGGCUUAACCCCGGGCCUGCGGUGGGUACGGGCAGACUAGAGUGAUGUAGGGGAGACUGGAAUUCCUGGUGUAGCGGUGAAAUGCGCAGAUAUCAGGAGGAACACCGAUGGCGAAGGCAGGUCUCUGGGCAUUAACUGACGCUGAGGAGCGAAAGCAUGGGGAGCGAACAGG
rnacentral:rRNA from 1 species